rnacentral:rRNA from 1 species
UACGUAGGCAGCAAGCGUUGUUCGGAUUUACUGGGCGUAAAGGGCGCGUAGGCGGCGCAACAAGUCACUUGUGAAAUCUCCGGGCUUAACCCGGAGCGGUCAAGUGAUACUGUCGUGCUAGAGUGCGGAAGGGGCUACUGGAAUUCUCGGUGUAGCGGUGAAAUGCGUAGAUAUCGAGAGGAACACCUGCGGCGAAGGCGGGUAGCUGGGCCGACACUGACGCUGAUGCGCGAAAGCCAGGGGAGCGAACGGG